AACAAACGCUGGCGGCGUGCCUAAUACAUGCAAGUCGAACGAGGAAAGCUUUCGGGUGAGUACUAGUGGCGCACGGGUGAGGAAUAUAUGGGUAAUCUGCCCUCGAGUUGGGGAUAACCAGUCGAAAGACUGGCUAAUACCGAAUAAGACCACAGGAUCUGCGGAUCUAGGGGUUAAAGGUUUUUCGCUUGAGGAUGAGCCCAUACGGGAUUAGCUAGUUGGCGAGGUAAUGGCUAACCAAGGCUACGAUCCCUAACUGGUCUUAGAGGAUGAGCAGUCACACUGGAACUGAGACACAGGCCAGACACCUACGGGAGGCAGCAGUAGGGAAUAUUGCACAAUGGGGGAAACCCUGAUGCAGCGACGCCGCGUGAGUGAUGAAGGCCUUCGGGCCGUAAAGCUCUGUCGUAUGGGACUAACACAAUGAAGGUACCAUGCAAGAAAGGAUCGGCUAACUUCGUGCCAGCAGCCGCCGCCG
rnacentral:rRNA from 1 species